UGGCUCAGUGGUAGAGCGCUUGCCUUGCAUGCAUGAGGCUCUGGGUUUAAUUCCUUG
rnacentral:tRNA from 1 species